rnacentral:rRNA from 1 species
UACGGGGGGGGCAAGCGUUGUUCGGAGUUACUGGGCGUAAAGGGCGCGUAGGCGGCCACUGCAAGUCGGUUGUGAAAUCUCCGGGCUUAACCCGGAAAGGUCAAUCGAUACUGCAGGGCUAGAGUGCAGAAGGGGCAACUGGAAUUCUCGGUGUAGCGGUGAAAUGCGUAGAUAUCGAGAGGAACACCUGCGGCGAAGGCGGGUUGCUGGGCUGACACUGACGCUGAAGCGCGAAAGCUAGGGGAGCGAACGGG